ensembl:lncRNA
GAUGCUGCAGCAUUCCGUCAGACCGCAGGCAUCGCGCUGCUGUUCCUCGGUGCGUGCACACGCAGACCUUGGAGCAUUUACAGCAGCUUCAGCUCUGCAACCUGCUGUCCAGGUUACUGCUUCAAUAGAAUAAGACAGCAAACCAUGAGAAUGAGGGAUGACAAAGAUAUGAAAAUCUAACAGCAAGAUGAACCAACCUGUGGGUCUUCCUUUUCCAGCACCUUCAUGCUUGAAGUCAUGGAAGUGAGAUCUAUGGAUUAAGCUGAGGGAGGACAAUCUCCCCUCUGUUGCUGCUACAGAUUGAUUAUUUUAAUGUAAAUGUUACCAUCUUGGUCAGCCUUCGUCUCACCUGUGUGUGAUUUCAGAACGCUUUAAAUUACAUCUGGAGGCUCCAACUGUGUUAGUCAUUGCCCAUAGAGGAUAAGGGAGGCAGGGCCCUCUAGUGUUAUUGCUUGCAUCAAGCAUUUGGUUUGUGUUCAUAAUGAUUGAUACUGUGGUGGGAGACAGGUAAGGUAAGGAGCCAUCUUAGAAGACAAAAUGGGAAAGAUUGGGGUUUUCAAAGGUCCAAAGCCAUGGUCAGAUCCAAGUUGACUUCAAAAGGAAGAUGUAACCUGACUGUGCUCUUUGGACACCACACAAUGCUCACGGGGUUGGCCAAUAUUUCUGGAGGCAGCACUGGUCGCUCUGGAAGCUGUUGGUCCUUCUGAGUGCAGGAUCCCAUCCUGAUGUGGCUCCAGCUCCAGCCGAGCAGUUCAACUGCCAGGAAGAGCCAGGCCAGAGGGAAAUACAUCGUGUUUCUCAGUGUUUGAAUAAUUCAGGCAAUCCUUCCUUCGGAAAGAUGUAAUGCUUCCACACUUUGAAAGAAGGACUUGAAUCCCAGUAGGGGAAGAUGGGCGCAUUGCCAUUGCCAGGAGCAUCUGACCAUGGUUGUUUCAGCUUUGAGCCUUUGGAGAUGUCUGGAAUGUGCAGCAGGGCUUUGCGAGAGCUUAGCAGAGAUCAGGGAAGAGCCUCUGCUCACUUCUCCCUGUGCCUGAUCCUUGGGAGGGGUGAAAUGGGCCUUUCCCCCACAGCCAAAUGGUGCGUUUCCUUCCUCUCCUAGCAGAGCACACCUGUGAGCAAUGAGACUCAUCUCCUCCAGGUCGUGGUCGGCCAAUCCUGAGGGGAGGAGAGGCCGAGGGCAAUCCCUGGCUCUGCAGAGCCCACAGUGGUACAGAGGAGCCCAGUGUUGGCGUGGUACCCUCAGAGGGUCUCAUGGGGAAGGAGCUGCUCACCCAAGCCCUCCUUUCCUCAGUGUCUGUGCACCAUGACCAAGAUGCCACGGAUCUGCAGCAGCAACGUGUCCUGCAGAUGGCCAACACCUACCUGUAGUCACCCCAAAACUGCAAGAAAUAACCCACAUUUGGCAUUGGUCUGCCUGGGGUGAACCCUUACGUGCACCAGCUGGGCCACAGCUCUCGGUGUAAGUUGGCAUCACGUGGCGAACGUCCCAGUGUUGGGGACAGCACCAACAGCUGCAGUGUCCUACAGUGUCCCGGUCACGGAGCGAGGACCAACCCGACACCCAGCGUGGGAAGUCUAUGAGAUGGUGGAUUGGAGCCAACCGCCUGUGUCUGCUGGAGGCAGAAGAAUGUCCCAGUGCUGGAUCCACCCAGGCCGGCAGCACGGGGCUGCUUGGCCAGACGGCAGGGCUGGCUCCCUCUGCAAAGUGGAGGAGAGCCAAAGGGGAUUUUUAAUUUCCAGAUGCUUUUAAAAUAAAAAAUAAAGUCACUGCU